rnacentral:rRNA from 1 species
AUCUAUCACUAUUAUAGAGCCGCAUCUACAGCCGAAAGGGAAUCAGGUCCUUAUUCCUGAACCUGGUAGCGUAACCGUUUGGGAGCCUCGUAUCUCACGUGGUAACACGAAUAGAGCUUGAGACGCCCGCCCGAAGUCUGGAAAGAGUUUUCUUUUCUGUAUAAGCAACCAAGGCCCUGGAAUUUCUUUGAGAAGAGAAUGGGUUUUGGUUUAGCCAAGAGCACAGCAGUUCUCGCUGUGUCCAUGACCGUCGGGCGGGACCUUGAAAAUCAAGCUGAAGGCUUCGGCGAGUCGCACCAGCGCGUACCCAUAUCCGCAGCAGGUCUCCUAGGUUAAUAGCCUCUGGUCGAUAGAAUAAUGUAGGUAAGGGAAGUCGGCAAAUUGGUUCCGUAACUUCGGGAAAAGGAAUGGCUCUGAAGGCCGGGGUGUCCGGGCUUGGGCAGGAAGCAGUCGGCUUAUCGGCGGGCCUGGCCAAGCCUUCGCGGCGAAGUCGGUCCCGUUCUCAAGCUACUGUGGAGCGCCCUUGCUUCGCAGUCCUGGGCAACCAGGUAACUGUUCGGGUAUCAAUUAACGGCUAAUUCAGAACUGGCACGGACAAGGGGAAUCCGACUGUUUAAUUAAAACAAAGCAUUGCGAUGGUCAGAGAGUGAUGUUGACGCAAUGUGAUUUCUGCCCAGUGCUCUGAAUGUCAAAGUGAAGAGAUUCGUCCAAGCGCGGGUAAACGGCGGGAGUAACUAUGACUCUCUUAAGGUAGCCAAAUGCCUCGUCAGAUAACUACUGACGCGCAUGAAUGGAUUAACGAGAUUCCCACUGUCCCUAUCUACUAUCUAGCGAAACCGCAGCCAAGGGAACGGACUUGGGAGAUUCAGCGGGGAAAGAAGACCCUGUUGAGCUUGACUCUAGUCUCCUAUUGUGGCGAAGCAUUUCUGGUGUAGAAUAGGGAGGAGCUUCGGCAACAGUGAAAUACUCCUACGGAAAUCGCUUCUCUGCUUACUCGGUUAAGCGAAGUUAGCCCUCUCGGGGGCUAUUUCUUGAAUCAAAUAGCAGGUCUCUGACUUGUUAUGAUUCGCUCCGAGGACAUUGCGAGGCGGGGAGUUUGACUGGGGCGGUACAUCUGUCAAAUGAUAACGCAGGUGUCCUAAGGCCAGCUCAGUGAGGACGGAAACCUCACGUGGAGUAAAAGGGCAAAAGCUGGCUUGACCUUUCCUUUCAGUACGAGGCAAGGAGCAGAAAUGUCGGCCUAUCGAUCCUCUUUAUUUCGGAGUUUGAAGAAAGAGGUGCCAGAAAAGUUACCACAGGGAUAACUGGCUUGUGGCUGCCAAGCGUUCAUAGCGACGUAGCUUUUUGAUCCUUCGAUGUCGGCUCUUCCUAUCAUUCAGAAGCAGAAUUCUGAUAGUGUCGGAUUGUUCACCCGCCAAUAGGGAACGUGAGCUGGGUUUAGACCGUCGUGAGACAGGUUAGUUUUACCCUACUGAUGACAUGAAGUUGCGAUAGUAAUCUUGCUCAGUACGAGAGGAACCGCAAGUUCGGACAUUUGGUACACGUACUCAGUCGAUCGGCUGAUGGUGCGAAGCUACCAUCCGUGGGAAUAUGCCUGAACGCCUCUAAGGCAGAAACCCGCCUAGACAUGGCAACUUUACUGUUGGGCUGGAGAUCUGUACGGGGAACGAUAGGCUUUGCCUCCACCCCGGUGUAAGGUUCUUGACUUGUGCUUGAAGUGCGCUUGUCUUUCCUGACCAUCCAAUUAUCGGAGUUCUGGUCCCAAAUCGUUUGU